rnacentral:rRNA from 1 species
CAGCGACGCCGCGUGGAGGACGAAGGCCUUCGGGUUGUAAACUCCUUUUAUAAGGGAAGAUAAUGACGGUACCUUAUGAAUAAGCCACGGCUAACUCUGUGCCAGCAGCCGCGGUAAUACGGAGGGUGCAAGCGUUAUUCGGAAUUAUUGGGCGUAAAGGGCGCGUAGGCGGCCUUUUAAGUCAGAUGUGAAAGCCCGGGGCUUAACCCCGGAAGUGCAUUUGAAACUAAAGGGCUUGAGUAUGGGAGAGGGAAGUGGAAUUCCUGGUGUAGCGGUGAAAUGCGUAGAUAUCAGGAGGAACACCGGUGGCGAAGGCGACUUCCUGGACCAAUACUGACGCUAAGGCGCGAAGGCGUGGGUAGCAAACAGGAUUAGAUACCCUGGUAGUCCACGCAGUAAACGGUGAACACUAGGUGUAGCGGGUAUUGACCCCUGCUGUGCCGCAGCUAACGCAUUAAGUGUUCCGCCUGGGGAGUACGGUCGCAAGAUUAAAACUC